UCCACUGGCCCAACACAAGCAUGCACGUUGCGCGGGAGCGGCCGCAUACAAGACGCCGCCGCCAAGAAUUCGCGGUGAGAACGUCGUCGACCGCAUUACCGCCAACCCACGAAGGACUGCGACCUCAAGGCCUUGCUCCUUCAGCUGUAGCGCGACGUGAGCCCUGCCAUUUCACUUUCAAGAUACGUAAGCUGCUUCGACCCUGAAAAUGCCGACGCAAUGGUGCAUCUGAAUAGCCAAUGGAUACCAUGCACACUCUGUAACGACCAGUGCUUUUAAUGAAACAGCACAGCGGAAUAAAGUCAACCACAUGAGGCACCUCAGACAGCAUAUGCAGUGGGUUGUGAUGGAUUUAAUGAUUUCAUCAGCAUUUUCACUGGAUGCAAGGCUGUGAAUCUUUUGUAUGAAGCAUGUGUGGAAAAGAAACCCAACAUCCGGUGCACAUGCUUGCUUGAAACAGUCGGGCAUAUCCCAUUAGUUGAGUGUCCCUGUGUCGGCAUUUGCUGAUGUGAUCCCAGCUAUCUUAACCCAUUACAUUCUGAUGAAUUUACUGCAGCCACCCUUUGGAAAAAUAGCACAUGGCAAUUAUUUCCAGGUAAUUAGUUCUCCCAUACAGAAAAAAUACCAUUAGCAGUACUCGUGGACGAUAAU